rnacentral:rRNA from 1 species
UACGGAGGGUGCAAGCGUUGUCCGGAAUCACUGGGCGUAAAGGGCGCGUAGGCGGCGUUUUAAGUCGGGGUGAAAGCCUGUGGCUCAACCACAGAAUGGCCUUCGAUACUGGGACGCUUGAGUAUGGUAGAGGUUGGUGGAACUGCGAGUGUAGAGGUGAAAUUCGUAGAUAUUCGCAAGAACACCAGUGGCGAAGGCGGCCAACUGGUCCGAAACUGACGCUGAGGCGCGAAAGCGUGGGAGCAACAGG